rnacentral:rRNA from 2 species
ACGAACGCUGGCGGCACGCCUAACACAUGCAAGUCGAGCGAGAAAGUGACUUCGGUCGCGAGUAAAGCGGCGAACGGGUGAGUACAACGUGGAUAAUCUACCCUAAGGUCUGGGACAACCCCGAGAAAUCGGGGCUAAUACUGGAUAAGACCACAGUAUCUAAGGAUACAGGGGUAAAAGAUUUAUCGCCUUUGGAUGAGUCCACGCCCCAUCAGGUAGUUGGUAAGGUAAAGGCUUACCAAGCCUAAGACGGGUAGCCGGCCUUAGCGGGUGAACGGCCACAUGGGGACUGAGACACGGCCCUGACUCCUACGGGAGGCAGCAGUGGGGAAUAUUGGGCAAUGGGCGAAAGCCUGACCCAGCGAUGCCGCGUGAGGGAUGAAGGCCUUCGGGUUGUAAACCUCUGUCAGGAGGGACGAUGGGACUUUUGUCUUGACGGUACCUCCAGAGGAGGCCCCGGCUAACUCCGUGCCAGCAGCCGCGGUAAU